rnacentral:rRNA from 1 species
UACGGGGGGGGCAAGCGUUGUUCGGAAUUACUGGGCGUAAAGGGCUCGUAGGCGGCCAACUAAGUCAGACGUGAAAUCCCUCGGCUUAACCGGGGAACUGCAUCUGAUACUGGAUGGCUUGAGUUCGGGAGAGGGAUGCGGAAUUCCAGGUGUAGCGGUGAAAUGCGUAGAUAUCACUUGGAACGCCAAUGGUGAAAACAGCUCGCUGGGAAUGAUCUGACACUGAGACGCGAAAGCCAGGGGAGCGAACGGG